ACGUGGCGAUGAAGGUGGUUCCCCCCCACCCCUUCAGCGCUCCGGUGAGCUUAAUUUAGAAGAACCCGCGGCCCGGUUCCCUUCCUGAGGGGACCGGGCCGCCUUCUUUU
rnacentral:sRNA from 2 species